rnacentral:rRNA from 1 species
AGCAGCCGCGGUAAUUCCAGCUCCAAUAGCGUAUAUUAAAGUUGUUGCAGUUAAAAAGCUCAUAGUUGAAUUUCGAGACCGGUUUACUGGUCGUGCUUUUGUACGUACUGGUAUUAUUGGUUUCUCCUUUCUGACGAAUCAUAAUGCCAUUAAUUUGGUGUUUUGGGGAAUCAGGACUGUUACUUUGAAAAAUUAGAGUGUUUAAAGCAGGCUCACGCUUGAAUACAUUAGCAUGGAAUAACGAAAUAGGACGUUUGAUUUUAUUUUGUUGGUUUCUAGGAUCGACGUAAUGAUUAAUAGGGAUAGUUGGGGGCAUUAGUAUUCAAUUGUCAGAGGUGAAAUUCUUGGAUUUAUUGAAGACUAACUACUGCGAAAGCAUUUGCCAAGGAUGUUUUCAUUAAUCAAGAACGAAAGUUAGGGGAUCGAAGACGAUCAGAUACCGUCGUAGUC